rnacentral:lncRNA from 10 species
CCGCCUCCUCCCCCGCCGCAGCUCCCAGAAUCUCGUAACUGCCCUUCUAAAUGCAUCUGGAAUCUGCCUGCUUCCUUCCCUCCAUCCCCACGGCCGCCAGGAGACUCAGAGGAAACCAGUGCAGCCACUCUGGGGGGUAGAUAUCAUCAUGACCAUUUGACAAAUGGAGAAACAGAGCCUCAGAGUGAUGUGGAUGGUGACGAAGCUCCAGGGGGGCCCAGUUCUUCCGCUCAGCACACAGCCACUGAGGACAUGUGGACACCAGUCCUGCAAACAACGGAGUGGGCCAGCCUUGCCUCUGACAGCUUCCAGUCUGGAGGAAGGCAAAUCACCAAAUGGAAAAUGUUCACAUGUGGGAACAGCACGGGCCCAGGAACGGUCCCUGUUCUGCCACUGGGCAAAUUACUUAAACACUCCAAGUCUCCAUGUAUUUGUCUGUAAGAUGGUGAUACGACCUCCCUGCUUCUGGCCUGUGGUGGAUACCAGACAACUGACAGCAGCAUUACUGCCCAUUGUUCUGAUAAUGAAAUAGCUUCUGAUCCAUCCAGCUGUCCAAGGUUAAGAUCAAAUGCCACCAUCUCAUGGAGACAUCCUCAGCUUUGCCGCCUCUGUAGACCCAAACCAUCACCAUCAUCAUCAUCACCAUCAUCAUCAUCAUCAUCAUCACCAUCCUCAUCACCAUCACCAUCAUCAUCACCAUCAUCACCAUCAUCAUCAUCAUUAUCAUCACCAUCAUCAUCAUCACCAUCAUCAUCAUCACCAUCAUCACCAUCAUCAUCACCGUCAUCACCAUCAUCACCAUCAUCAUCAUCAUCAUCAUCAUCAUCAUCAUCAUCA